rnacentral:rRNA from 1 species
UGGACAACAGGUAGAGAUUCCUGUACCAGUGCUAAUUGUUUAACCGAUGGGGUGACACAGAAGGAUAGGGAAUCGCACGAAUGGAAAUGUGCGUCCAAGCAGUGAGUGUGAGAAGUAGGCAAAUCCGCUUCUCGCGAAGCAUGAGCUGUGAUGGGGAAGGAAAUUAAGUACGGAAGUUCCUGAUUUCACGCUGUCAAGAAAAGCCUCUAGGAAGAGUAGUACUGCCCGUACCGCAAACCGACACAGGUAGAUGAGGAGAGAAUCCUAAGGUGAGCGAGAGAACUCUCGUUAAGGAACUCGGCAAAAUGACCCCGUAACUUCGGGAGAAGGGGUGCUCUAUUAGGGUGCAAGCCCGAGAGAGCCGCAGUGAAUAGGCCCAGGCGACUGUUUAGCAAAAACACAGGUCUCUGCAAAACCGUAAGGUGACGUAUAGGGGCUGACGCCUGCCCGGUGCUGGAAGGUUAAGAGGAGUGCUUAGCUUCGGCGAAGGUACGAAUUGAAGCCCCAGUAAACGGCGGCCGUAACUAUAACGGUCCUAAGGUAGCGAAAUUCCUUGUCGGGUAAGUUCCGACCCGCACGAAAGGCGCAACGAUCUGGGCACUGUCUCAACGAGAGACUCGGUGAAAUUAUAGUACCUGUGAAGAUGCAGGUUACCCGCGACAGGACGGAAAGACCCCGUGGAGCUUUACUGCAACCUGAUAUGGAAUGUUUGUACCGCUUGUACAGGAUAGGUAGGAGCCGAAGAGACGUGUGCGCUAGCAUACGAGGAGGCAAUGGUGGGAUACUACCCUGGCUGUAUGACCAUUCUAACCCGCCACGCUUAGCGCGUGGGGAGACAGUGUCAGGUGGGCAGUUUGACUGGGGCGGUCGCCUCCUAAAGAGUAACGGAGGCGCCCAAAGGUUCCCUCAGAAUGGAUGGAAAUCAUUCGCAGAGUGUAAAGGCACAAGGGAGCUUGACUGCGAGACUGACAAGUCGAGCAGGGACGAAAGUCGGGCUUAGUGAU